rnacentral:sRNA from 2 species
UCAAAAGCCGCUAGGGUUCCGGCUCAGAUGUUCUGAGUGUCUGGUCCGAGAGCGCGCGGCCCCGGUGUUCGGGGUUACACGGCGGGACAAAAGCCCGGGA